UUCAAAUUUGUUGUGCUCCCUUCAUGUGGGGUUCCUACAUAGAAAAUUUAAAACAGAAAAAUAAGGUAAAUAAUAAUCUAUUGUUAAUCCUAUUCCUAAAAAGAAAAAUUAAAAAUUACCCCAAUAGUUAUAAAAUUUUGAAAAAAAACAAAAAUUCUAUCAUCCUCUUUAUAGUCCAUCUCUUCAUUCUCCUGUCUUUCUUUAUCUUCGUUCUCUUCUUGUUCUUCAGUUUCU
rnacentral:lncRNA from 1 species